UACGGAGGGAGCUAGCGUUGUUCGGAAUUACUGGGCGUAAAGCGCACGUAGGCGGCUAUUCAAGUCAGAGGUGAAAGCCCGGGGCUCAACCCCGGAACUGCCUUUGAAACUAGGUAGCUAGAAUCCUGGAGAGGUCAGUGGAAUUCCGAGUGUAGAGGUGAAAUUCGUAGAUACUCGGAAGAACACCAGUGGCGAAGGCGACUGACUGGACAGGUAUUGACGCUGAGGUGCGAAAGCGUGGGGAGCAAACAGG
rnacentral:rRNA from 1 species